GCAUAUCAAUAAGCGGAGGAAAAGAAAAUAACAAUGAUUCCNUUAGUGACGGCGAGUGAAGGGGGAUAAGCUCAAAUUUUAAAUCUAUCAGGUUAACCUGGUCGAGUUGUAAUUUGAAGAAGCGUUUUCCGCGUUCGGGUCGGCCCAAAUCCUUUGGGAUAAGGUAUCAUGGAGGGUGAGAAUCCCGUUCGGCUGACCUUAGGAUGCUUUACGAUACGCUCUCAAAGAGUCGAGUUGUUUGGGAUUGCAGCUCAAAAUGGGAGGUAAAUUUCUCCUAAGGCUAAAUACCGGCGAGAGACCGAUAGCGAACAAGUACCGUGAGGGAAAGAUGAAAAGAACUUUGAAAAGAGAGUUAAAUAGUACGUGAAAUUGUUGAAAGGGAAACGAUUGAAGUCAGUCGUACCGGCGGGAAAUCAGCUUUUCGAGUGGGGGUUCGCGGGUGCGUGGAGCUUCGGCCUUCGUCGCUUGUGACACCUUUUGCUUCUGGAGCGUACUUUUCCGUGUGGUAGGUCAACAUCGGUUUCGAUUGCCAUAAAAUGACCGGAGGAAUGUGGCUUCGAUCUUGUAUUGGAGUGUUAUAGCCUCUGGUAGAUGUGGUGGUUGGGAUCGAGGAUUGCAACGAAUACCCUUUGGGCUAUCCGCCUGACCUCUGAAAGUCGCUUGGGUACCGAAAGCUUGCUUACGGUCAUUCAAGUUGGCGGUCAAAAGGUUAGAACGUGAUUAAAUUCGUUAAGGAUGUUGACGUA
rnacentral:rRNA from 1 species